rnacentral:rRNA from 1 species
CCUACGGGUGGCAGCAGUGAGGAAUAUUGGUCAAUGGACGCAAGUCUGAACCAGCCAUGCCGCGUGCAGGAAGACGGCUCUAUGAGUUGUAAACUGCUUUUGUACGAGGGUAAACGCAGAUACGCGUAUCUGUCUGAAAGUAUCGUACGAAUAAGGAUCGGCUAACUCCGUGCCAGCAGCCGCGGUAAUACGGAGGAUUCAAGCGUUAUCCGGAUUUAUUGGGUUUAAAGGGUGCGUAGGCGGUCGGAUAAGUCAGAGGUGAAAUCCCGAGGCUCAACUUCGGAAUUGCAUCUGAUACUGUUAGGCUAGAGAGUAGUAGAGGUAGGCGGAAUGUGUGGUGUAGCGGUGAAAUGCUUAGAGAUCAUGCAGAACGCCGAUUGCGAAGGCAGCUUACCGGGCUACUUCUGACGUUGAGGCACGAAAGCGUGGGGAGCAAACAGGAUUAGAUACCCUGGUAGUC